GAUGAACGCUGGCGGCGUGCCUAAUACAUGCAAGUCGAGCGAACGGACGAGAAGCUUGCUUCUCUGAUGUUAGCGGCGGACGGGUGAGUAACACGUGGAUAACCUACCUAUAAGACUGGGAUAACUUCGGGAAACCGGAGCUAAUACCGGAUGAUAUUUUGAACCGCAUGGUUCAAAAGUGAAAGACGGUCUUGCUGUCACUUAUAGAUGGAUCCGCGCUGCAUUAGCUAGUUGGUAAGGUAACGGCUUACCAAGGCAACGAUGCAUAGCCGACCUGAGAGUGUGAGCAGGCACACUGGAGCUGAGACACGGUCCAGACUCAUACGGGAGGCAGCCGUGGGGAAUAUUGUACAAUGGGCUCAAGCCUGAUCCAGCCAUACCGCGUGGGUAAAGAAGGCCUUCGGGUUGUAAAGCCCUUUUGUUGGGAAAGAAAAGCAGCAUGUUAAUAUCCCGCCGUUCGGACGGUACCCAAAGAAUAAGAACCGGCUAACUUCGUG
rnacentral:rRNA from 1 species